rnacentral:rRNA from 1 species
AUUGAACGCUGGCGGCAUGCCUUACACAUGCAAGUCGAACGGCAGCACGGGAGCAAUCCUGGUGGCGAGCGGCGAACGGGUGAGUAAUAUAUCGGAACGUGCCCAGUAGUGGGGGAUAACUGCUCGAAAGAGCAGCUAAUACCGCAUACGACCUGAGGGUGAAAGGGGGGGAUCGCAAGACCUCUCGCUAUUGGAGCGGCCGAUAUCAGAUUAGCUAGUUGGUGGGGUAAAGGCCUACCAAGGCAACGAUCUGUAGUUGGUCUGAGAGGACGACCAGCCACAGUGGGCGUGAGAAACGGCCCAGACUCCGACGGGAGGCAGAAGUGGGGAAGUUUGGACAAUGGGCGCAAGCCUGAUCCAGCAAUGCGGCGUGCAGGAAGAAGGCCUUCGGGUUGUAAACUGCUUUUGUCAGGGAAGAAAUCCUCUAGGUUAAUACCCUUGGGGGGAUGACGGUACCUGAAGAAUAAGCACCGGCUAACUACGUGCCAGCCGCCGCAGUAAGAC